rnacentral:tRNA from 1 species
GCGUUCAUAGCUCAAAGGAUAGAGCAACAGCCUUCGGAGCUGUGGGUUGGGGGUUCGAGUCCCUCUGGGCGCAC